rnacentral:rRNA from 1 species
GACGUAGGGCGCGAGCGUUGUCCGGAUUUAUUGGGCGUAAAGAGCUCGUAGGCGGCUUGUCGCGUCGUUCGUGAAAACCUGCAGCUCAACUGCAGGCUUGCGGUCGAUACGGGCAGGCUAGAGUUCGGUAGGGGAGACUGGAAUUCCUGGUGUAGCGGUGAAAUGCGCAGAUAUCAGGAGGAACACCGGUGGCGAAGGCGGAUCUCUGGGCCUGUUCUGACGCUGAGGCGCGAAAGCUAGGGGAGCGAACAGG